AGCGUACACGGUGGAUGCCCUGGCAGUCAGAGGCGAUGAAGGACGUGCUAAUCUGCGAUAAGCGUCGGUAAGGUGAUAUGAACCGUUAUAACCGGCGAUUUCCGAAUGGGGAAACCCAGUGUGUUUCGACACACUAUCAUUAACUGAAUCCAUAGGUUAAUGAGGCGAACCGGGGGAACUGAAACAUCUAAGUACCCCGAGGAAAAGAAAUCAACCGAGAUUCCCCCAGUAGCGGCGAGCGAACGGGGAGCAGCCCAGAGUCUGAAUCAGCUUGUGUGUUAGUGGAACGGUCUGGAAAGUCCGACGGUACAGGGUGAUAGUCCCGUACACCAAAAUGCACAGGUUGUGAACUCGAAGAGUAGGGCGGGACACGUGGUAUCCUGUCUGAAUAUGGGGGGACCAUCCUCCAAGGCUAAAUACUCCUGACUGACCGAUAGUGAACCAGUACCGUGAGGGAAAGGCGAAAAGAACCCCGGCGAGGGGAGUGAAAAAGAACCUGAAACCGUGUACGUACAAGCAGUGGGAGCACGCUUAGGCGUGUGACUGCGUACCUUUUGUAUAAUGGGUCAGCGACUUAUAUUCUGUAGCAAGGUUAACCGUAUAGGGGAGCCGCAGGGAAACCGAGUCUUAACUGGGCGUUAAGUUGCAGGGUAUAGACCCGAAACCCGGUGAUCUAGCCAUGGGCAGGUUGAAGGUUGGGUAACACUAACUGGAGGACCGAACCGACUAAUGUUGAAAAAUUAGCGGAUGACUUGUGGCUGGGGGUGAAAGGCCAAUCAAACCGGGAGAUAGCUGGUUCUCCCCGAAAGCUAUUUAGGUAGCGCCUCGUGAACUCAUCUUCGGGGGUAGAGCACUGUUUCGGCUAGGGGGUCAUCCCGACUUACCAACCCGAUGCAAACUACGAAUACCGAAGAAUGUUAUCACGGGAGACACACGGCGGGUGCUAACGUCCGUCGUGAAGAGGGAAACAACCCAGACCGCCAGCUAAGGUCCCAAAGUCAUGGUUAAGUGGGAAACGAUGUGGGAAGGCCCAGACAGCCAGGAUGUUGGCUUAGAAGCAGCCAUCAUUUAAAGAAAGCGUAAUAGCUCACUGGUCGAGUCGGCCUGCGCGGAAGAUGUAACGGGGCUAAACCAUGCACCGAAGCUGCGGCAGCGACACUAUGUGUUGUUGGGUAGGGGAGCGUUCUGUAAGCCUGCGAAGGUGGCCUGUGAGGGUUGCUGGAGGUAUCAGAAGUGCGAAUGCUGACAUAAGUAACGAUAAAGCGGGUGAAAAGCCCGCUCGCCGGAAGACCAAGGGUUCCUGUCCAACGUUAAUCGGGGCAGGGUGAGUCGACCCCUAAGGCGAGGCCGAAAGGCGUAGUCGAUGGGAAACAGGUUAAUAUUCCUGUACUUGGUGUUACUGCGAAGGGGGGACGGAGAAGGCUAUGUUAGCCGGGCGACGGUUGUCCCGGUUUAAGCAUGUAGGCGGAGGUUCCAGGUAAAUCCGGUACCUUUUAACGCUGAGGUGUGAUGACGAGGCACUACGGUGCUGAAGUAACAAAUGCCCUGCUUCCAGGAAAAGCCUCUAAGCAUCAGGUAACAUUAAAUCGUACCCCAAACCGACACAGGUGGUCAGGUAGAGAAUACCAAGGCGCUUGAGAGAACUCGGGUGAAGGAACUAGGCAAAAUGGUGCCGUAACUUCGGGAGAAGGCACGCUGAUAUGUAGGUGAAGUCCCUCGCGGAUGGAGCUGAAAUCAGUCGAAGAUACCAGCUGGCUGCAACUGUUUAUUAAAAACACAGCACUGUGCAAACACGAAAGUGGACGUAUACGGUGUGACGCCUGCCCGGUGCCGGAAGGUUAAUUGAUGGGGUUAUCCGUAAGGAGAAGCUCUUGAUCGAAGCCCCGGUAAACGGCGGCCGUAACUAUAACGGUCCUAAGGUAGCGAAAUUCCUUGUCGGGUAAGUUCCGACCUGCACGAAUGGCGUAAUGAUGGCCAGGCUGUCUCCACCCGAGACUCAGUGAAAUUGAACUCGCUGUGAAGAUGCAGUGUACCCGCGGCAAGACGGAAAGACCCCGUGAACCUUUACUAUAGCUUGACACUGAACAUUGAGCCUUGAUGUGUAGGAUAGGUGGGAGGCUUUGAAGUGUGGACGCCAGUCUGCAUGGAGCCGACCUUGAAAUACCACCCUUUAAUGUUUGAUGUUCUAACGUUGACCCGUAAUCCGGGUUGCGGACAGUGUCUGGUGGGUAGUUUGACUGGGGCGGUCUCCUCCUAAAGAGUAACGGAGGAGCACGAAGGUUGGCUAAUCCUGGUCGGACAUCAGGAGGUUAGUGCAAUGGCAUAAGCCAGCUUGACUGCGAGCGUGACGGCGCGAGCAGGUGCGAAAGCAGGUCAUAGUGAUCCGGUGGUUCUGAAUGGAAGGGCCAUCGCUCAACGGAUAAAAGGUACUCCGGGGAUAACAGGCUGAUACCGCCCAAGAGUUCAUAUCGACGGCGGUGUUUGGCACCUCGAUGUCGGCUCAUCACAUCCUGGGGCUGUAGUCGGUCCCAAGGGUAUGGCUGUUCGCCAUUUAAAGUGGUACGCGAGCUGGGUUCAAAACGUCGUGAGACAGUUUGGUCCCUAUCUACCGCGGGCGUUGGAUGAUUGCAGGGACUUGCUCCUAGUACGAGAGGACCGGAGUGAACGAACCUCUGGUUUACGGGUUGUCAUGCCAAUGGCACGGCCCGGCAGCCAAGUUCGGACCUGAUAACCGCUGAAAGCAUCUAAGCGGGAAGCAGGCCCUAAGAUGAGUCAUCCCUGACUUUAAGUCAAUAAAGACCGUUGAAGACUACGACGUUGAUAGGCUGGAUGUGGAAGUCCUGUGAGGGAUGUAGCUUGCCAGUACUAAUGUUCUGAGAGUCUUGACC
rnacentral:rRNA from 1 species